UCCACAAUGACCGGCCACUGCUCUUCCUUCAGGUCUCAGCUUCAGGGAAGCCUUUUCUGCCCACCCUGUCUAACGCAGGCCCCCCUUCCCACCACCCCCUUGUUCAGAAUCUCAGCCUCUUAAUGAUUUUCUUUACAACCCUUAAAACAUCAUGCAACUAUUUUAUUCACUUGCAGUGCCCUUUCGAACUUAGCUUUAAAAAUGAAUCCAGUUGUUACGCAGCCAAGAUUUGGCGCAGGGGGUGUGACGGCUAGUGAGUGGCAAAGUGGCGUCUUUGACUGCUUCGACGACAUGGCGAUUUGCCUCUGUGGGACUUUCUUUCCCCUGUGCCUUUCAUGUCAGAUCGCCUCUGACAUGAACGAAUGCUGCCUGUGGGGAGGAAGUGUUGCCAUGAGGACCAUGUAUCGGACCCGAUAUGGCAUCCCGGGAUCUAUUUGCAAUGAUUGCCUAUGCCUGACAUUUUUCCCUACUUGCACCCUUUGUCAACUCAAGCGAGAUAUUGAAAAAAGAAAAGCAAUGAAUGCUUUCUAAAAGGUGUUUGGUCAAAUUCACAUUGUGGUGAAAGAAAAUGCUGGAAUGAAAUAUUGCAUCUAUUAAGUGUUAUCUCACCUCAAAUCUUAGAAAGUAAUUCCACUGAUCAGAUGGUUUCAAAUGGCUUCAAAACAUUUUUAAUUUCCAGUUUAUUUUGAAAGAAAUAUAUUUCCAUUGCUGUUCUCUAAGAUGACUGCCAUUAAAAAAAUU